GGGAAGGUGGCUCACUGGUAGAGUGCUUGCCUUGCAUGCAUGAGGCCUUGGGUUCGAUUCCUCACCACCACA
rnacentral:tRNA from 1 species